AUUAAAAACCAAUGCCUUUCGGGGCUCUCUGGUGAUUCAUAAUAACUUCUCGAAUCGCACGGCCUUGCGCCGGCGAUGGUUCAUUCAAAUUUCUGCCCUAUCAACUUUCGACGGCUGGGUCUUGGCCAGCCGUGGUGACAACGGGUAACGGAGGGUUAGGGCUCGACCCCGGAGAAGGAGCCUGAGAAACGGCUACUACAUCCAAGGAAGGCAGCAGGCGCGCAAAUUACCCAAUCCCGACACGGGGAGGUAGUGACAAUAAAUACUGAUACAGGGCUCUUUCGGGUCUUGUAAUUGGAAUGAGUACAAUUUAAAUCCCUUAACGAGGAACAAUUGGAGGGCAAGUCUGGUGCCAGCAGCCGCGGUAAUUCCAGCUCCAAUAGCGUAUAUUAAAGUUGUUGAGGUUAAAAAGCUCGUAGUUGAACCUUGGGCCUAGCCGGCCGGUCCGCCUCACCGCGUGCACUGGCUCGGCUGGGUCUUUCCUUCUGGAGAACCGCAUGCCCUUCACUGGGUGUGCC
rnacentral:rRNA from 1 species